GCCUGGCUGGCUCAGUUGGUAGAGCAUGCGACUCUUGAUCUCAGGGUUGCGAGUUUGAGUCCCACAUUGGGUA
rnacentral:tRNA from 1 species